CUGUGCUCACUUCAGACACAAAUAGAUUAAAAGUGGACCCACACAGGGAGGAUUAGCAUGACCUCUGCCCCACGUAAUUUUCAGUAAUGAAAAACUGCAUUUUAUU
rnacentral:snRNA from 1 species